UGGGGAAUAUUGCACAAUGGGCGGAAGCCUGAUGCAGCGACGCCGCGUGGGGGAUGAAGGCCUUCGGGUUGUAAACUCCUUUCGACAGGGACGAAGCUUUUGUGACGGUACCUGUAUAAGAAGCACCGGCUAACUACGUGCCAGCAGCCGCGGUAAUACGUAGGGUGCGAGCGUUGUCCGGAAUUACUGGGCGUAAAGAGCUCGUAGGUGGUUUGUCGCGUCGUCUGUGAAAUUCCGGGGCUUAACUCCGGGCGUGCAGGCGAUACGGGCUGACUUGAGUGCUGUAGGGGAGACUGGAAUUCCUGGUGUAGCGGUGAAAUGCGCAGAUAUCAGGAGGAACACCGAUGGCGAAGGCAGGUCUCUGGGCAGUAACUGACGCUGAGGAGUGAAAGCAUGGGUAGCGAACAGGAUUAGAUACCCUGGUAGUCCAUGCCGUAAACGGUGGGCGCUAGGUGUAGGGGGCUUCCACGUCUUCUGUGCCGUAGCUAACGCAUUAAGCGCCUCGCCUGGGGAGUACGGCCGCAAGGCUA
rnacentral:rRNA from 1 species